AACGUAGGUGGCAAGCGUUAUCCGGAUUUACUGGGCGUAAAGCGUGUGCAGACGGGGCUUCAAGUGGUGUAUGAAAUCGCUCGGCUCAACCGGGCGCGGGUAUGCCAGACUGGAGUGCUAGAGGGUGCGAGAGGAAAGUGGAAUUCCUGGUGUAGCGGUGAAAUGCGUAGAUAUCAGGAGGAACACCGGUGGUGUAGACGGCUUUCUGGACCGUAACUGACGCUGAGACACGAAAGCGUGGGUAGCAAACAGG
rnacentral:rRNA from 1 species